GCCGAGCUAAGUCUCGGGGACGUUAGAUUUAUAGGGGAAGUGCUGCCGAAAUUUCGGUAGACAAAAAUGAAGUUAAUGGCAUUUUUAAGCCUAAGAAUCUCAAAUUGGUAACUUUGACCAUUUGCAGAUUUCGGACGAAACGGGAUUUGAUUUUAAGGAGAGCAUAAGACGUCUAUAAGCCGUAUGCUGUGUUGCGGUUCCCGAGGCUUCGCCAUAGGGCCGGGUUCCGUUUGGAGUUAUGCUGUGAUAUGGCUGGUGAUGCGAUACGCUCACCUAUGUUUGUGUUUGUGUUCGGGGAUGUACGGAGAUUUGAAACCUUCUGGUGUUAUGCUGUGUGUGGCGCCAGCGUCGGAGUGGCGACCACGUUCUUGAGCGUUUGCAUGAUUUCGUCUGCAUUAUGUAUAGGUACAGUUAUUGGUGAUCCUCCACUGUAGGCUUCACUUUCUGCUGUCUCGGAGCACUCCCUUUGAUCCGGAGUCCACCUUUGGUAUAUAUACCUGCUGCUAUGGAUAUGUCUUUGUACAUUUGACUAUUUGGGUACGGCGGGGCCCUGUCUCGCCAUAUGUCUUUGUUUUGAGUUCGUAGAGGCCUGUAGUCAUAUAUGUGGG